AGGAAUAUUGGUCAAUGGACGAGAGUCUGAACCAGCCAAGUAGCGUGAAGGAUGACUGCCCUAUGGGUUGUAAACUUCUUUUAUAUGGGAAUAAAGUGGUCCACGUGUGGAUUUUUGUAUGUACCAUAUGAAUAAGGAUCGGCUAACUCCGUGCCAGCAGCCGCGGUAAUACGGAGGAUCCGAGCGUUAUCCGGAUUUAUUGGGUUUAAAGGGAGCGUAGGUGGACAGUUAAGUCAGUUGUGAAAGUUUGCGGCUCAACCGUAAAAUUGCAGUUGAUACUGGCUGUCUUGAGUACAGUAGAGGUGGGCGGAAUUCGUGGUGUAGCGGUGAAAUGCUUAGAUAUCACGAAGAACUCCGAUUGCGAAGGCAGCUCACUGGACUGCAACUGACACUGAUGCUCGAAAGUGUGGGUAUCAAACAGGAUUAGAUACCCUGGUAGUCCACACAGUAAACGAUGAAUACUCGCUGUUUGCGAUAUACAGUAAGCGGCCAAGCGAAAGCAUUAAGUAUUCCACCUGGGGAGUACGCCGGCAACGGUGAAACUCAAAGGAAUUGACGGGGGCCCGCACAAGCGGAGGAACAUGUGGUUUAAUUCGAUGAUACGCGAGGAACCUUACCCGGGCUUAAAUUGCAUUUGAAUAAUCAAGAAAUUGGUUAGUCGUAAGACAAAUGUGAAGGUGCUGCAUGGUUGUCGUCAGCUCGUGCCGUGAGGUGUCGGCUUAAGUGCCAUAACGAGCGCAACCCUUAUCUUCAGUUACUAACAGGUUAUGCUGAGGACUCUGGAGAGACUGCCGUCGUAAGAUGUGAGGAAGGUGGGGAUGACGUCAAAUCAGCACGGCCCUUACGUCCGGGGCUACACACGUGUUACAAUGGGGGGUACAGAAGGCCGCUACCUGGUGACAGGAUGCUAAUCCCAAAAGCCUCUCUCAGUUCGGAUCGAAGUCUGCAACCCGACUUCGUGAAGCUGGAUUCGCUAGUAAUCGCGCAUCAGCCAUGGCGCGGUGAAUACGUUCCCG
rnacentral:rRNA from 1 species